UACAUAGGGGGCGAGCGUUGUCCGGAAUUACUGGGCGUAAAGGGUGUGUAGGCGGUUUUUUAAGUUAGAAGUGUAAUACCCAGAGCUUAACUCGGGUGCUGCUUCUAAAACUGGAAGACUAGAGUAUGGGAGAGGAAAAUGGAAUUCCUAGUGUAGCGGUGGAAUGCAUAGAUAUUAGGAGGAACACCAGAGGCGAAAGCGAUUUUCUGGACCAUAACUGACGCUGAGGCACGAAAGCGUGGGGAGCAAACAGG
rnacentral:rRNA from 2 species